AUCCUCAGUGAUACGUGAACAUC
rnacentral:miRNA from 1 species